rnacentral:rRNA from 1 species
CCUACGGGAGGCAGCAGUGGGGAAUAUUGCACAAUGGGCGCAAGCCUGAUGCAGCCAUGCCGCGUGUGUGAAGAAGGCCUUCGGGUUGUAAAGCACUUUCAGCGGGGAGGAAGGCGGUGAGGUUAAUAACCUCAUCGAUUGACGUUACCCGCAGAAGAAGCACCGGCUAACUCCGUGCCAGCAGCCGCGGUAAUACGGAGGGUGCAAGCGUUAAACGGAAUUACUGGGCGUAAAGCGCACGCAGGCGGUCUGUCAAGUCGGAUGUGAAAUCCCCGGGCUCAACCUGGGAACUGCAUUCGAAACUGGCAGGCUAGAGUCUUGUAGAGGGGGGUAGAAUUCCAGGUGUAGCGGUGAAAUGCGUAGAGAUCUGGAGGAAUACCGGUGGCGAAGGCGGCCCCCUGGACAAAGACUGACGCUCAGGUGCGAAAGCGUGGGGAGCAAACAGGAUUAGAUACCCUUGUAGUC